UUUGAAAAACAUCUACUAAAGUGGGUGAAACCUUUCUUGCAGUGUUUCUAUGGCACUUUCUGGUGUCUCCCUGACUUGAAGCCAAUAUGUGCAAAUCCUAACCUGCCCCAGGGACUUCCAGUUUCAGUGGAAUUGUUUCACAGGCAGAGAAUUUUCAUAUAAAAGACUAAUGGCUGCCUUCCUACCAGGCUCUUCAUUCCCAGGCUCUUCAACUCUUCCUAGUCUACACAGAAUACAGUCAACAAAGAAUCAGCUUCAAGUGGAGCAAAACAACUGGACAAGACUUUCAGCCACAGAUCUAUAAAGAAGCCAGAGAGACUGACUCAAGUCUGGCACACAAUGUCAGCAGAAAGAAACAUCUGGAAGCCCCAGGACUGUGCAGCAUUUCCUUGAUGAUACAUCCAGGUGUAGACAUUGCCUAGAGUAAGAGACAAAAACCACCCUAAUUCUCACUUCUGCAAGUCCAGAUCCUAUAAAAUCUCUGUUUUAGCAGGAAUGUUUUCUAAGCUGACUAAUUAAACCAAUAUUACCUUAA